GCUGGAAUAGCUCAGAUGGUUAGAGCGUAUGGCUGUUAACCAUACUUCUAGCG
rnacentral:tRNA from 1 species